UGAAUUUAUGUGUUUGUUGCAUUUAAAGUAUUUAAUUUAUUUUCUAAUGAAUAUUUUUUAAAUUGCAGGUUUCUUGAUUAUGAGGUCAGUCACAAAGCUGUUGCUAUCAUGCGCCAAUUUUUUAAUGGUCCGUGGUUGUCAUGGAGGGAGGUCCCUACACAUGCUAAAGUUGGAAUGUGGAACAAAUUUGAGGAGAUACACACAAUUCUUCCAGGACAAUUGCAUCAUGUGCAUGAAGUUUGGAACAAGCAUUGUCAGCGACGAUUGACAACCUCAUUAGGGAAGGUCAGAAGCCAAAAGCUUCUGGAAGCAAAAGGAGAUUUAAACAAAGCCCGUGAUAAACCCCCUAAUUGGAUCUCUAGAGAAAAUUGGAAUAAGCUAAUUGAUAUUUGGAUCUCCCCAAAUGGAAGAAGAAAUCAGAAGCCAACAAAAAUAAUAGAAACACCAUGAAGAAUGGUAGCAUCUCUAAACACUGUGGAGGAUCAAUCACAUUUGUCAAUCAUGACGAACGAUUGAAAUUAAAGUUAGGCAGGGAGCCAACAAUAGUUGAAUCUUUUAAUCGGACGCAUAA